rnacentral:misc_RNA from 1 species
AGAGAGAGAGAGAGAGAGAGACCCGGUAAAGGCUUAGUUAACAUCACCAACCAAGGUUCUCGAGAUGUCAAAAAGUUCUCCCAAAAUAAUAUAGUACUUAGCCAACUGCAACUAAACUAGGCGCAGCCUACCUAAUUGAAUUGUACAAUCUCUUUCAACGAGAGAAUUGAAAGGUAUUUUACUAUUUGUUUUGUCACAGUAAAUAAGGAAGAUGUUUUCCACAUUGUCAAAAUUGUCCCACAACAUCAUCCUGCAGUAAAGUCACACAAGACCUUAUCAAUCCGUACUGAAGAUGGUUUUUGAGAGAAUUAAAAGGUAUUGUACAAUUUGUUUUGUGUACAGCACAGCCUUCAGUAUUAGAAAGAUACAGCAGUCCAUACUGAAGAUGAUUUCAAUUAACACAAAACCAAGCAGUAUACAAAACCUCACAUAGUGGACCUAAUUGAAAUGUACUCCUAGCUAGUGGAAACCAAGUGCACAAGACCUUUUCCUACUUCCACCUUUCCUCUGGGCCAAACUUUCUAUGAGCUACUAUAUCAGUUUUUUCCCGAGUUAGUCCAUGCUAAUUCUGGUCCACCUCUUCCUUUUUCUCCUAGUGCUUGAAUCCACUCACUCUCCCAUACUGAUCCAUCCAUAAUUCUACAUGACAUGGAUAAAUAAUAUCAAUUAACCUCUCUCAACUUAUCUCAAUGAUGCCUUCAAGCUUCCAACAACAAACUUAUUCUUAUUUGAACCAUUCUUGUAUUUACAAAUAUACACGUUACUAUGUUAGCUACUCUCAUUUGAUUCACCUUUUCUUCACUCUUCCUCUCUUCCUUUUUAUUCUCUUUUUGAUCUCAGCACUCACUACAACAAUAGCCUACAUAAUCACAGUUUUACAACAUUUAUCCUUUAGUGUAUCAAGAACUUUAUGAUCACCAAACACUCCAAUUAAAGCUCCAUUUCAAUUCACUUUGAUUUGGUUCUAUGGGUUAUAUUCACAAAAUUCAUCUCCAUUCGCAUCAUUGUAUGAAAGAACUAAUUAACAAAGCGUCAUGGUAGAAAAUUGCGAAGCCAUCCAAUUUUAAAAAACACCUCUUUCUCUGAUUAGUCACAUUAUAUAUAUAUAUACUUGUCAAAAAAUGGUUAGACUCUAGGGUUCUCCCUCUUCCAAAGUGAACUAAAAGAAAUAGGUUCUUUUUGCAAUCUAAGGAUAAGAGAUGUCAAAUGCCUUCACAAAUGCUAGCAUUUGAAGGUAUACAGCCAAAGAUUCUUACAUCAAACUAUCUACCAACUACAGCAAUAUCCUCUUCAACAAUGACCUACCCUUAUCACUUCCAGUGUUUUGAAACAAUUCAAAAAGUGAAGCAAAAAAAUUAUCAAAUAAGGUAAGAAAGCCAAAAUAGCUAAAGAAGCAUCUAGAAAAAAAGGCAAUUGACAGUGAAAUAAAUCUAUGGGGCCAAGCAUAUUAACCUAUCAAUAAAAUAUGAGAAAUACUGUAAUGAAAGAGGGAUGCCAUUUCCCAAAGUUUCACAAGAAUGCAAGUGAAUCACCUGAAUGCAACUUAACUCAAGCAUUUUCAAUUACUGAAAAGGCUUUACAAAUUCCCUCUUUUCCACUCAUUCUAUUCGCACAGUUAAUUACAAUUCUUAUGCUCAGCUAAUAGGUCCUAUUUUAUGCCCGAAUUGGCCUUAUUCAGUAAGAAUAUUGCUUUGAUAAAUAAACCCAAAAUAAAACAAAUUUUAUAACUCCCCCGAACCCAUCAUCAUUUCAUGGUUUCACAGAUAUCAACAGCAACUUGCCAAUCUUCCAUGCAACUAAAGCCAAGUUAUAUCUAUCCGAAUUGUGAUAGAACAACAUAAUAACUAUAUGCAGAUCAGAAACACUGGACUGUAGAUGAAGUUUCUGCGCACCUUAGAUAAUUUCCAUCCUUUUACACAGAAGAAAGCUUUGCCAAAUGACAUCUAUAAACAAUUAGGAGGUAUGCAUAAUUCAGAAAAAUGAAGGUGUAGUCAUGGAGGUGUAAUGCUCUAACUCAAUUCAAUAGAGAGAGUGUGUGAGAAAACGGAAAUAAUGCAACCUAUUAAUUGCUAAAACGCCCUUAAAGUUCUCCAUGCCAGCAAAAUAUCAGUAUUUCGCCUUCAAUGAGCAAUUUGUAUACACUGAAUCACAUGGUUAUAUACCGAAACAUCAUCACCGCAGUAAGCUAAUGGAUAACAUCUAGAUACCUUCUUUUAUCAUCUUCUCAAUUUUGAUUUACCAGGGAAAACAAUUAUGGAGUUCAAUCCAUUCCCUAAAUGUUCAAUCAAAAUUUAUUAUUACCAAUAAACACUUCAAUUAUUUAUGUAUUUGUUUUGGUACUAGUAUAUAUUUUAAAAAUUAAAGCACCAUCAGUUGAUGAACAAUUAUUUGUCAGUUGAUGUAGACCCUGACUAUGUACUGUCAUUUAAUGAUCCUAACUUCCAUCUAUACACACAAGUAUCCAAAUCUUUACAUUAAUAUUCAUUUGUUGUUCCUGUAACUUUAAUUGAAAUACAAUGGCAAGUACUUUUACAAAACCCACCCUGGUUUAACAACCGAUACGUAUGAGGGAGCACAGGCAUAACUGGGCUAAGCUUGUGCCGCUCUGCUAGUAACUCUGAAAGAUAUUUUUCUUGCUCGACGAGAGCAGAGGAGGCGGAACGGAGGCCAGAGAGAUGAGGAGGAUGAGGAGCAGACGGAGACAGGGAGUAGGCCAUGUAGCGGCCGCCGCCACCGCCGCCACCUGAUGUGGUCAUUUUGUCAGUGCUCCAAUCAAUAUCUGUAUAAAUAUCCGUGUUUGGGGAUUUAAAAUUGGUGAGAGAAAGGAAGUAGACCCGGGAAAGCGACCGCCAAGAGAGUGUGGUGGAAUUAAUUGUUUACGGUGGCGUUUGUUCUUGUGGUUGUUGUUGUCGCUGGUUGUUUGAUCCGACCAGACGCUCUCUCUAUACAGCGUCGGUGGAAAUCUCUACUUUUGUAUAUAUGCCUAGUCUUUAGUAUUUUAUUUCAUUUUUUAAAAGAAUGACAUCUUGU